GCGUAGGUGGGCAGGUAAGUCAGUGGUGAAAUCUCUGGGCUUAACCCAGAAACUGCCGUUGAUACUAUCUGUCUUGAAUGUAGUGGAGGUGAGCGGAAUAUGUCAUGUAGCGGUGAAAUGCUUAGAUAUGACAUAGAACACCUAUUGCGAAGGCAGCUCGCUACACUAUUAUUGACACUGAGGCACGAAAGCGUGGGGAUCAAACAGGAUUAGAUACCCUGGUAGUCCACGCCCUAAACGAUGGAUACUCGACAUCAGCGAUACACUGUUGGUGUCUGAGCGAAAGCAUUAAGUAUCCCACCUGGGAAGUACGACCGCAAGGUUGAAACUCAAAGGAAUUGA
rnacentral:rRNA from 1 species